GCGCUGGUGGUUCAGUGGUAGAAUUCUCGCCUGCCAAGCGGGAGACCGGGGUUGGAUACCCCUCUAGCGCU